UGGGGAAUAUUGGACAAUGGGGGGAACCCUGAUCCAGCCAUGCCGCGUGUGUGAAGAAGGCCUUAUGGUUGUAAAGCACUUUAAGCGAGGAGGAGGCUCUCUUGGUUAAUACCCAAGAAGAGUGGACGUUACUCGCAGAAUAAGCACCGGCUAACUCUGUGCCAGCAGCCGCGGUAAUACAGAGGGUGCGAGCGUUAAUCGGAUUUACUGGGCGUAAAGCGUGCGUAGGCGGCUUUUUAAGUCGGAUGUGAAAUCCCCGAGCUUAACUUGGGAAUUGCAUUCGAUACUGGGAAGCUAGAGUAUGGGAGAGGAUGGUAGAAUUCCAGGUGUAGCGGUGAAAUGCGUAGGGAUCUGGAGGAAUACCGAUGGCGAAGGCAGCCAUCUGGCCUAAUACUGACGCUGAGGUACGAAAGCAUGGGGAGCAAACAGG
rnacentral:rRNA from 1 species